UAAUCACUUCUGUUUCAUUUUUUAUCAUAGUGUGUGAUGGUAUUUCAGGUCCUUUAACACAAUUAUUUUAUAAUUUUAGGUUAUACUAUCUAAUGUUCCAUAAUUUAGCGGCGGGAAGAUUUCAAAAAGAUGAAAAAAUGCAAAAAUCAUUUUUUUAUCAUAGUGUGUGAUGGUAUUUCAGGUCCUUUAACACAAUUAUUUUAUAAUUUCAGGUCAUAUAAUCUAACAUUCGAUAAUUUAGCAACGGAAGAUUUCAAAAUGAUGAAAAACUGCGAAAAUCAUUUGAAGACCAUCAAACACUCCUAAACCUGUCCUCGAGGGUGCCUUGAAGCUGCUGAUUAGCCAUGAGAGUAUCU
rnacentral:lncRNA from 1 species